UAAAACCAUUCAGCAUGUUAUAUUUAAAUAUUUACAAUUAAAUAUAAUGUGUUAAGGGUGCUGUGUAUUAUUCAAUAAAUAUUUUGGUGUUGAAAUGACUGCCUUAUCAGUAUUUCUCAAAUUAUGCAAUUUUUGGCUUAGACACAGCAUGGAAUCAGAUAAGAGAAUAGCCAGUCCCUAUCAGUCCUCCAUCUAAGCCUAACUAAGGGGUGUUGAUAUACUUUUGAUUUGUUCAGGCACCAUCUAUUUGAGAACCACAGAUAGGAAGUUAUUUUUUUAAAACAAGCAGCAUCAGCAACUGACUUUAAGCUAGAAUUAAGACUUAUUAUUCUAGUGUAAAAUGUCUUGAAAUACUUUCAGCAUGAAGUAUUGUGUGAUGAAAAAAAUGUGUAUUUACUACAAUGUGUAAAUCAACAAUAAGUUUGUUGCAAAGGAGAUUAAAAGUGGGUGGUUAAAGACAUAUAAAGUGAUAUGGUCUAGUUCAACAACUGCCUGUAUUUUUGGAAUACUGAAGAACAGUCUGUUGUAACAGGUUAAACCCCAUGGUGACCGUGAAAUUUACAUUGAUCAGAAGAUCCUUUGGAAAGAAUGUGCAUCAUCGCAUCGCCUGCCAAAAAAGGGAGCAAAAGAGAGACUACCUGAUGUAUGGACUUGAAUACCAGGUUUUACCCAGCACAAGCUGGCCGACAUGAGGAGAACAGGAGUGGGGAAACCGCGCCCUCUCCUUGACCAAGAAAAGCUGGAUUUGUUUAGAGGACCUGAUCAAAUGAGAUCAUGCACGAGACGCAUCGCGCAAAGGCCAUGACAGUAUAAUAGUUGCAAAGAAGUUUGACCGGCUGGUGGCAGACUUGGAGAGAAAGAUGAGAGCUGCACUCCGCCGCCUCAAAGAAAUGCUGACAGGCCUUGAUUGAUAUGCAUCUUUCUUAUGUAUAUAGCUGUUCGUGUGUAUAUACUGUACAUGUUAUUAUAGUAUGCUAUUAUUUUUUGUUUAUUUAUAAUCAAAUUAUGUUUAUAUUUAUUUCAUCAAAUUGCCAUUGAUAUUUAAUUACUCAUGUAUGUUAAAAAAUGUUGGUGUACAUUAAAGUAUAAAAUUGAAUUAUCUUGUAAUUAUUAAAAUACACAAAUAUAUAUGUUUAUAUAAUUAUUGGUUUUUAUUGCAUAUCUGAAUUAAAAAAAACUUUUAACAGCAUAUAAUUGAAUCAACUGUUAAGGCAAAAGAUGCACCUUUAACGCACAUGUGUG